rnacentral:sRNA from 1 species
GAAAGUCCGGCUUCGCAAGCCGAAGGCGAUGAUUAAAAACUACGACAUCAACAGGGGCCACUCCCCCGUCUCAUGGAACUGCCGCUCGAACUGCGGAUGCUCAAUUGGGAAGACGCAUUACCCAAGUAGUGUGACUUUCACAAAUGAGUGAAUUAGCUCUAAGUCCUGGAGAGUGUUGCCUUCAAUGAAAUCCAUGUCGAAAUACCAUUGGCAUCCAAAAAAUGGUGUCUUGCGUCUUGCGUCUUGAUAUUGAGAGCUUGAUGAACUCACCCCUUUCAAAGACCCAGGAUUGAUUGAUAGCUUUUUUGUGGGCUAGCUUCAUGAUGUCUGCCUCACAUGGCCGUCAAGCUUUCACCCAGCUCCUUUACACACGAAUGUGUGGGAGAGAGGCGCACAAUGCGCGUUGCCUAGUAGUCGUGGAUGAACAUGCUACGAUCAAAUGAGGUUAAUAGCGUGAUUACCAGCUACCCUGGUUGAUCUGGCGGCGGGAGCGCGCUAAAUUUAACAUCUUGUUAACUAACGCUAGUGGGA